rfam:Gossypium arboreum cultivar AKA8401 contig_46409_1, whole genome shotgun sequence.
AGGCCUAUAGCUCAAUAGGUAAGAGCAGAGGACUCAUAAUCCUUGUGUUGUAGGUUCAAGUCCUACUAGGCCUA